CCUUGAUGUUUGACCUGUUGACCACUGCACCGGCGCCGCUAGCCAGGGGCGGGCGCGCGAGCGGCCUGGGCGCGGCCGGAGGCGGGCACGCGUGCGGCCUAGGCGCGGCCGGAGGCGGGCGGCGCGCGUGCGGCCUGGGCGCGGCCUAGGCGCGGCCGGAGGCGGGCGCGCGUGCGGCGGACCUGGACAGCAGCAGCUUGGCCGGGGGCGGUGCGGCCUGGCCUGGGGCGGCGCGGCGGCGGAGAUCGGGCGCAGGUGGCGGCGGCGAUGGGGAUCUGCUGGAGGCGUCGUGAAUGGGAAGGAUGUGUGCGAGGAUUUUUUUUUUUUUUUUUUACAGAAACAAGCCACGGCCCACGGGUGGGUGUUUUGUUGGGCUUUAGGGUUAGCUCUUCGCCGAGUGACAUCGUCUCGGGCACUCGGCGAAGAAAAUGAUUUUUUAAU
rnacentral:lncRNA from 1 species